rnacentral:rRNA from 1 species
UGCCAGACUCCUACGGGAGGCAGCAGUGAGGAAUAUUGGUCAAUGGGCGGGAGCCUGAACCAGCCAAGUCGCGUGAGGGAAGACGGUCCUAUGGAUUGUAAACCUCUUUAGGCGGGGAGCAAUGCCGGGCACGCGUGUCCGGAGGGAGAGUACCCGCAGAAUAAGCAUCGGCUAACUCCGUGCCAGCAGCCGCGGUAAUACGGAGGAUGCGAGCGUUAUCCGGAAUUACUGGGUGUAAAGGGAGCGUAGACGGUUAUGUAAGUCUGGAGUGAAAGCCCGGGGCCCAACCCCGGGACUGCUUUGGAAACUGUGUAACUAGAGUACAGGAGGGGCAGGCGGAAUUCCUGGUGUAGCGGUGAAAUGCGUAGAUAUCAGGAGGAACACCGGCGGCGAAGGCGGCCUGCUGGACUGAAACUGACGUUGAGGCUCGAAAGCGUGGGGAGCAAACAGGAUUAGAUACCCCGGUA